CAUGCNAGUCGAGGGGCAGCAUUUCAGUUUGCUUGCAAACUGGAGAUGGCGACCGGCGCACGGGUGAGUAACACGUAUCCAACCUGCCGAUAACUCGGGGAUAGCCUUUCGAAAGAAAGAUUAAUACCCGAUGGNAUAAUCAGACCGCAUGGUCUNAUUAUUAAAGAAUUUCGGUUAUCGAUGGGGAUGCGUUCCAUUAGGCAGUUGGUGAGGUAACGGCUCACCAAACCUUCGAUGGAUAGGGGUUCUGAGAGGAAGGUCCCCCACAUUGGAACUGAGACACGGUCCAAACUCCUACGGGAGGCAGCAGUGAGGAAUAUUGGUCAAUGGGCGCAGGCCUGAACCAGCCAAGUAGCGUGAAGGAUGACUGCCCUAUGGGUUGUAAACUUCUUUUAUAUGGGAAUAAAGUUUUCCACGUGUGGAAUUUUGUAUGUACCAUAUGAAUAAGGAUCGGCUAACUCCGUGCCAGCAGCCGCGGUAAUACGGAGGAUCCGAGCGUUAUCCGGAUUUAUUGGGUUUAAAGGGAGCGUAGGUGGACAGUUAAGUCAGUUGUGAAAGUUUGCGGCUCAACCGUAAAAUUGCAGUUGAUACUGGCUGUCUUGAGUACAGUAGAGGUGGGCGGAAUUCGUGGUGUAGCGGUGAAAUGCUUAGAUAUCACGAAGAACUCCGAUUGCGAAGGCAGCUCACUGGACUGCAACUGACACUGAUGCUCGAAAGUGUGGGUAUCAAACAGGAUUAGAUACCCUGGUAGUCCACACAGUAAACGAUGAAUACUCGCUGUUUGCGAUAUACAGUAAGCGGCCAAGCGAAAGCAUUAAGUAUUCCACCUGGGGGAGUACGCCGGCAACGGUGAAACUCAAAGGAAUUGACGGGGGCCCGCACAACCGAAGGAACAUGUGGUUUAAUUCGAUGAAACGCGAGGAACCUUACCCGGGCUUAAAUUGCAUUUGAAUANUNUGGAAACAGNUUAGCCGCAAGGCAAAUGUGAAGGUGCUGCAUGGUUGUCGUCAGCUCGUGCCGUGAGGUGUCGGCUUAAGUGCCAUAACGAGCGCAACCCUUAUCUUUAGUUACUAACAGGUCAUGCUGAGGACUCUAGAGAGACUGCCGUCGUAAGAUGUGAGGAAGGUGGGGAUGACGUCAAAUCAGCACGGCCCUUACGUCCGGGGCUACACACGUGUUACAAUGGGGGGUACAGAAGGCAGCUACCUGGUGACAGGAUGCUAAUCCCAAAAGCCUCUCUCAGUUCGGAUCGAAGUCUGCAACCCGACUUCGUGAAGCUGGAUUCGCUAGUAAUCGCGCAUCAGCCAUGGCGCGGUGAAUACGUUCCCGGGCCUUGUACACACCGCCCGUCAAGCCAUGAAAGCCGGGGGUACCUGAAGUACGAACCGCAAGGAG
rnacentral:rRNA from 1 species